CCGGGGGUCUACCGGAAACAACCUUGCUACUUCUCCGGAGGUAGUGGUAUGAACUGCGUACAUCUUACCCUCCCCGUGCCCCACUAUGUGGGAAUACACUGGGUAUGUUGUUGUUGUUGUUAUUGUAAUAAUUAGGGCUUUCUAUAUAAUUGACUAAUUGUAUGUGUUUUUUUGUCAUUAUACAGGCAUUGUAACUAAAUGGAUACAAUAGUAACACUUCAAUUCACCUAUGGGGUUUGUUUUUUGUCAG
rnacentral:lncRNA from 1 species